CAGUAGCCACGGUAAUACGUAGGUGGCAAGCGUUGUCCGGAAUUAUUGGGCGUAAAGGGCUCGCAGGCGGUUUCUUAAGUCUGAAGUGAAAGCCCCCGGCUCAACCGGGGAGGGUCAUUGGAAACUGGGAAACUUGAGUGCAGAAGAGGAGAGUGGAAUUCCACGUGUAGCGGUGAAAUGCGUAGAGAUGUGGAGGAACACCAGUGGCGAAGGCGACUCUCUGGUCUGUAACUGACGCUAAGGAGCGAAAGCGUGGGGAGCGAACAGGAUUAGAUACCCCGGUAGUCCCUGUCUCUUAUAC
rnacentral:rRNA from 1 species